AUGAUGGUUAUAGCUAGUGCUACACUGCUACUGCUCUACUUGACAGGCUUCGCGUGCCACAGAAAAUGCCUCUGCACCUUCUUCACAUUGGACCGCAUAGUUAUCUACCUGUUCUCCGGGAUCGCCAGCAGGAUCUCCUUCAGCCACCAUGACGGAGAAUGCACUCUAGUCGAGUGCGUCGUCGAACAGGAGCACAAAGUUGUCUGCGAUGAUCACCGAGAUGCACUCAUAGUAGAUAGCAUCCACGAUCUGCGGGUUGUUAACCUCGUACCCCGCCGGGCAGAUGCCCUCCACUUCCUGUGUUUGACGUAG
rnacentral:rRNA from 1 species